CCUACGGGGUGCAGCAGUGAGGAAUAUUGGUCAAUGGGCGGAAGCCUGAACCAGCCAAGUCGCGUGAGGGACUAAGGCCCUACGGGUCGUAAACCUCUUUUGCCGGGGAUCAGUGCCCAGCUCGCGAGCUGGGAGGGAGCGUACCCGGAGAAAAAGCAUCGGCUAACUCCGUGCCAGCAGCCGCGGUAAUACGGAGGAUGCGAGCGUUAUCCGGAUUUACUGGGUGUAAAGGGAGCGUAGACGGCUGUGCAAGUCUGAAGUGAAAGCCCAGGGCUCAACCCUGGGACUGCUUUGGAAACUGUGGAGCUAGAGUGCUGGAGAGGUAAGUGGAAUUCCUAGUGUAGCGGUGAAAUGCGUAGAUAUUAGGAGGAACACCAGUGGCGAAGGCGGCUUACUGGACAGUAACUGACGUUGAGGCUCGAAAGCGUGGGGAGCAAACAGGAUUAGAUACCCGAGUAGUC
rnacentral:rRNA from 1 species